UGGAAGUAAAAAGUCGUAACAAGGUUUCCGUAGGUGAACCUGCGGAAGGAUCAUUAAAGAGUAAGGGUGCUCAGCGCCCGACCUCCAACCCUUUGUUGUUAAAACUACCUUGUUGCUUUGGCGGGACCGCUCGGUUCCGAGCCGCUGGGGAUUCGUCCCAGGCGAGUGCCCGCCAGAGUUAAACCAAACUCUUGUUAUUAAACCGGUCGUCUGAGUUAAAAUUUUGAAUAAAUCAAAACUUUCAACAACGGAUCUCUUGGUUCUCGCAUCGAUGAAGAACGCAGCGAAAUGCGAUAAGUAAUGUGAAUUGCAGAAUUCAGUGAAUCAUCGAAUCUUUGAACGCACAUUGCGCCCCUUGGUAUUCCGAGGGGCAUGCCUGUUCGAGCGUCAUUACACCACUCAAGCUAUGCUUGGUAUUGGGUGUCGUCCUUAGUUGGGCGCGCCUUAAAGACCUCGGCGAGGCCACUCCGGCUUUAGGCGUAGUAGAAUUUAUUCGAACGUCUGUCAAAGGAGAGGAACUCUGCCGAUUGAAACCUUUUAUUUUUCUAGGUUGACCUCGGAUCAGGUAGGGAUACCCGCUGAACUUAAGCAUAUCAAUAAGGCGGAGGAA
rnacentral:rRNA from 1 species